CCUUGGGGAGAGGGGCCAUGCGGAGCCCAAAGUCUUCAUCCAGUUUGGGGGGAGGGGGGCGCGGCAGGAUUAGAGCCCCAGCCCGGGAAUCAGCCUGGAGUGGCUAUGCCCUUGCCGCCACUAUGGUCCAAUCUUAUAGCUGGGCCUGGUGAGCCAAGAAGAGGCAGUCUUCAGUGCUGCCAGAUUGACUUUCCAAAAGCACAGCUUUGAGCAUACCUUUCCACUCCUCAGAACUGGCAGUGGCUGCCAACUGCUAGCAGAUUCCGUACCCUGGAGGUUUUCUGGACUGAGUUUACAACAUAGUGAUUCAGCAAUUACCUGCUUUAUGAAAUGCUUACCGUGAUACCACUUUGGGUCUUAUUCCUUCUUAAAAAAAUCUUCCUUUCCCCUAUGACCCAGCAAUUGCACUAUUGGGUAUUUACCCUAAAGAUACAAACGUAGUGAUCCAAAGGGGCAUGUGCACCCGAAUGUUUAUAG